UCGAUAAGCAAUGUAGCCACUACAUGGCUUGCUACCUUGCUCGACUUUAUUUUCCAAGAACCCUAAUCUUGAUGGAUUUGCAAGGCUUUGGAAAAUCCAAUCAGGAAGAGGUGGUCUGGGACAAAGAAGUAUGCGUUAGAGGUUGGCCAGAUGAAAAAGCAACAAUUGCAACUAACAUCAAAGUUGGAUAAGAAGUUAUCGUCAAGAGUGCUGACCCAGGUGAGAUGGAGGAAGGGGGAGCAACGUCGGUGGGAGGGCAAAGAGGGACCCAAUAG
rnacentral:lncRNA from 1 species